GCAUAUCAAUAAGCGGAGGAAAAGAAAAUAACAAUGAUUUCCCUAGUAACGGCGAGUGAAGAGGAAAGAGCUCAAAGUUGGAACCUGUUUGGCCUAGCUAAACCGGAUUGUAGACUGUAGAAGUGUUUUCCAGGCAAGCCGAGUAAAUAAGUCCUUUGGAACAGGGCAUCAUAGAGGGUGAGAAUCCCGUCUUUGGCUUGAGCAUUUGCCUUUUGUGAUACGCUUUCAAAGAGUCAGGUUGUUUGGGAAUGCAGCCUAAAUUGGGUGGUAAAUCUCACCUAAAGCUAAAUAUUGGCGAGAAACCGAUAGCGAACAAGUACCGUGAGGGAAAGAUGAAAAGAACUUUGAAAAGAGAGUUAAACAGUAUGUGAAAUUGUUAAAAGGGAACCGUUUGGAGCCAGACUGGCUUGUCUGUAAUCAAUCUAGGCUUCGGCCUGGAUGCACUUGCAGGCUAUGCCUGCCAACGACAAUUUGACUUGAGGGAAAAAACUAGGGGAAAUGUGGCCCACUUGUGGGUGUUAUAGUCCCUUAGAAAAUACCUUGGGUUGGAUUGAGGAACGCAGCGAAUGCUUAUUGGCGAGUUUUCCAGGAAGGUUUUCUGAGGUACUACGGUAUCAAGGUUGAUCUUUUUGGUUAUACUUCUAUUCGCUUAGGUUGUUGGCUUAAUGACUCUAAAUGACCCGUCUUGAAACACGGACC
rnacentral:rRNA from 2 species